GAUGAACGCUGGCGGCGUGCCUAAUACAUGCAAGUCGAGCGAACAGAUGAGGAGCUUGCUCCUCUGACGUUAGCGGCGGACGGGUGAGUAACACGUGGAUAACCUACCUAUAAGACUGGGAUAACUUCGGGAAACCGGAGCUAAUACCGGAUAAUAUAUUGAACCGCAUGGUUCAAUAGUUAAAGACGGUUUUGCUGUCACUUAUAGAUGGAUCCGCGCCGCAUUAGCUAGUUGGUAAGGUAACGGCUUACCAAGGCGACGAUGCGUAGCCGACCUGAGAGGGUGAUCGGCCACACUGGAACUGAGACACGGUCCAGACUCCUACGGGAGGCAGCAGUAGGGAAUCUUCCGCAAUGGGCGAAAGCCUGACAGAGCAACGCCGCGUGAGUGAUGAAGGUCUUCGGAUCGUAAAACUCUGUUAUUAGGGAAGAACAAAUGUGUAAGUAACUAUGCACGUCUUGACGGUACCUAAUCAGAAAGCCACGGCUAACUACGUG
rnacentral:rRNA from 1 species